rnacentral:rRNA from 2 species
UCUGGUGUCAGCCGCCCUUGUAAAACCAGCACCUCAAGUGGUCAGGAUGAUUAUUGGGCCUAAAGCAUCCGUAGCCGGCUCUGUAAGUUUUCGGUUAAAUCUGUAUGCUCAACAUACAGGCUGCCGGGAAUACUGCAGAGCUAGGGAGUGGGAGAGGUAGACGGUACUCGGUAGGAAGGGGUAAAAUCCUUUGAUCUAUUGAUGACCACCUGUGGCGAAGGCGGUCUACCAGAACACGUCCGACGGUGAGGGAUGAAAGCUGGGGGAGCAAACCGGAUUAGAUACCCGGGUAGUCCCAGCUGUAAACUAUGCAAACUCAGUGAUGCAUUGGCUUGUGGCCAAUGCAGUGCUGCAGGGAAGCCGUUAAGUUUGCCGCCUGGGAAGUACGUACGCAAGUAUGAAACUUAAAGGAAUUGGCGGGGGAGCACCACAAGGGGUGAAGCCUGCGGUUCAAUUGGAGUCAACGCCAGAAAUCUUACCCGGAGAGACAGCAGAAUGAAGGUCAAGUUGAAGACUUUACCAGACAAGCU